GACGAACGCUGGCGGCGUGCUUAACACAUGCAAGUCGAACGAAAAUACCAAGCUUGCUUGGUUGAUUAGUGGCGAACGGGUGAGUAACACGUGAGUAACCUGCCCCUUACUUUCCUGGAUAACUGCUCGAAAGGGUAGCUAAUACGGGAUAUUCUGACCAGCCUGCAUGGGUUGGUUUGGAAAGGUUGUUUUUCUGGUAAGGGAUGGGCUCGCGGCCUAUCAGCUUGUUGGUGGGGUGAUGGCCUACCAAGGCUUUGACGGGUAGCCGGCCUGAGAGGGUGGACGGUCACACUGGGGCUGAGAUACGGCCCAGACUCCUACGGGAGGCAGCAGUGGGGAAUAUUGCACAAUGGGCGCAAGCCUGAUGCAGCGACGCCGCGUGAGGGAUGAAGGCCUUCGGGUUGUAAACCUCUUUCGUCAGGGAACAAGGCACUGCUUUUGUGGUGGUGUUGAGGGUACCUGGAUAAGAAGCGCCGGCUAACUACGUG
rnacentral:rRNA from 1 species